rnacentral:lncRNA from 1 species
AGAUAGUUCCCUUUAGCAGCUCCCAGACUAUAAGAGAGAAAAGACCUAUACAAUCAUGGGAAUAUGAAAGACAAGGUAUUCAGUGCUCCAUGAGGCACAAGAAAGCUCUAUAGGACUUGGGAGAGGAGUAGCUGGCUGGAGGAAUCACAGAAGGCUUCCUGGAGGAAGUGGCUUUGAGCUUCUGCCAUCUCCAUGCAGCUACUCCAAGCUCCAGAGCCAGCCACGGAGCACUCCUGGAACUCUUUGCAGGAUCCAUCUCGAAGUUCUGACUCCCAGCAGAGAAACAACACUGGCCCAGCCCCUAGGAGAAAGCCUAACUGCAGUAAAGGAGUCCUGGAGACAGGACAAGAAUGAAGUCAAUGAAGCAUAGCAGGAGUGGAGAUAAAGGUGCUUUCUUGGGCCUCACUGCCCUGGGGUGACUUAUCCAGUUAAUUUUUUUCCCUCCUCCUCUCUCUUUCUCCCCCUUACUCUGCUGACUCUAAAGGCCCUGGGAAGAUGUGUGAUCAUGUUUAUAUGAGACUGUCUUAGGAGAUUGCCAGAAGGCCUAUUUCUCUAGUUGUACUUGCCUUCUUGUGCUCCUGUAAGAAGACACAGAGAUAGAGGAUUAUGUUGCCCUAUGACUCAGAUGGAGGGGUAAGGGGCAGAGGCAGAGGCAGACAAGGUGAGAGGCAUAGCAAAGACCACACAGCAAGCUGCUACCCACAUCCCUAAGAAGUAUCCGAACCCCCAGAAGUUCUAAUAAACAUUAUUCCCAUUGCUGAUAGUUAAUUUUUCCCAAUCAUUCAUCCAUUUCUCCAUUCCAUAGAAAUUUAUUGAACAUCUAUUAUAGAUGCGACAAAAUAAAAGUCUGGGUGUGGUGGCUCAUGCCUAUAAUCCCAGCACUUUGAGAGGCCCAGAUGGAAGAAUCCCUUGAGCCCAGGAGCUUGAGUCCAGCCUGGGCAAACUAGGCAAGACCCCAUCUCUACAAAAAAAUUAAAAGUUAAGUUUUGUCAAUGGCCAUAGCUUAUUCUCAAAUAUUAAUCUCCCUAAAAACUGUAACACACAAAAAGGGAAAGUCUUGAUACAUUUUUAGGUUUAAUUCCAUUUGUUUCAGGGGAUGGUUUGCAUGUGCCUCGUUCAACUGCUUACAACGCUGUGAAAUUCCAUAAUCAUUGAAUUGAUUUAUUCUCAGAGAACAGAUGUCCACAUAUAUUUGCUGCCAUUAGCAAUGUAUUUAUUCAUUUAUUCAUUCAUUCACUUGGAAAACAUUGUCCAAAUACUUCAUGCUACUGAGUGUAUUCUGGUGGGGAGAGCAGAGUUAGUGAUGGGGAGGUGGACACACAGGUGGCCCCAAAACACAGAAUUAAUGCCCCUUCAUUGUCUAGCACUUGCUAUCUGCAUCUUGUUGGAGUUCCUCUCAAGCCCUAUGAGGUAGUGCUAUGGGCCUUUUUGUACAGAGGGGAAAACGUGGAGACUCAGAGAGUUUAGGUAACUGUACCAGGGCCCCAUAGCUGCAAGCAAGAAGCAGACACACCCUAAUAGAUUCCCACACAAAGCAGGCACGUGAACUCUGCUGAAGGAAGAAGAGGAGGAAUCAACGACCUAUGCUCAUCUGCUGGACGUCUCUCUAAGAGCACGGACCCCUGCCUAUGGACCAGGGGCAACCAUUCAAGGCCUUUACAGAGUUAGGAAUGAAGUUAUCUGAUCCAAGGCAGGAAGAUAAGGAUGUUGUAACCGUUCACUAUGGUGUGCUCCUUUCAAAGGCUUCUUCAUCAUCCCUGGAGGGGGAUUGUACGAACUCUCAGGGUUGGGAGAGGAAGGGGGCAGCUAGAGAGACUGCAGCUUGGUGGGUGAAAUGGAAGCAGGGAUUGCAUGCACCACAGCUCGCUUCUUUGUAACCAAGGCAGAAUGGAAGAGGAAGGCCUUUGGAAUAACUUUCCUAAAUAAGCCAACAGGCCAUUUAGGCGAAGGUGGGGGUCGGGGGACACAAUGUGACUCCAGUGGGUGGCCGUAGCAGAGGUGACAAAGAGGAAACGGCCCCCUGGCCUUGGCCCCAGGCUUCAGGAUGAAUGAGGCCUCUCCCAGCGACCUGAAGGUCACCCCAGGGCAUGUCCCAAGACCUUGUACAGACAAGGCUUCUGAUUACUCAUUAGCCAGCCUGGGGACUGGCCUCCAUGUUGCUGUCCUUGGCCAUAAACAGAUGAAAGCCCCAGCCGCCAGCUCAGGGCAGGCGGGCCUGAUAGUCUAGUAGCUAUCUCAGCCCCUGGAAUUAUCAAAGCCUGGAGCAGCCCAGACAGAGGAGGGAGGCUGGGCUUUCAAACACUUCUGUGCCCUUCACAACUCCUCCUCCCCUCUUACCCCUCACCCAAACAAACAGAAGGAAAAAAAAAUCCCAUCAUACUAGACAGGAUUUUAACAGAUGGCUUCCAGGGCAAAGAUUGCCUGAACCAGCUUCGGCAAGGACAUGCCAAGAUAUGCUGAUGAGAGGGAAGGAAUCCUUCUGAAACCCCUGGAAUGGACUGUUCUAUCCUUGCUUCAAGGCUGAGAAAAAAGGCAUCUUGGAUGCAGAUUCAGGGUGGGGCCAAGACACCCGAAGGCCUCGGUCCUGCUCAAUCUCUGCCUUCUCACCUCCCCCCUUCUUUAGAGGGCCGUGGGUAGGUACCCAUAUGGGCAUGCCUUCUGUUGCUUCUCCAAGCCUCUCCCACUCAGCCCUCUCUGACUGAGAUUUGAAGUCUAGAAAGCAGCAAGUCCUUCCCUCCACCUUGUCUGAGAAAAUCCAGUUAUCCACUCCAAGUCUCUACUCCCCUACCAUGAACCUGGCCCUGGGACCAACCCCACAACCAGGCAGCUCUCUUGACCCUGGGUCUUUGUCCGCUGUCCAUAAAUCAAAGUGGUAGGUUGAUAUUCUGUAGAGAGAAAUGGAAACAGAACCAGAAAGUCCUGCUAUUCAGAGCCUCCAGAGCUCUAUCUUGACCAAUACCUAACAGUAAUAAAACACCAACAUGGCAAAACAGCCACGGCAGCAGCCCAGAUAGAAACAGGAAAUCUUCAUUCAUUCCAUUUUCUCAGCAUUUGGAACACAUUUAGAAUGACUAUAACGUGGUAGUUGUCAAAUGGAUCCAAAGACCUGGUCCCUGAUCUCAAGAAGUUCCUAAACUUGGGGAAGAAUAAUGUAAAUAAACAAUAACAUCAGGAGCUACCAUUUAUUGAGUACCUACGAUGUGCGGUUUCACACAGCAAUGACGCGGCAUGGCACUAUCAUC